rnacentral:rRNA from 1 species
AUUGAACGCUGGCGGCAGGCCUAACACAUGCAAGUCGAACGAGUGGCGGACGGGUGAGUAAUGUCUGGGAAACUGCCUGAUGGAGGGGGAUAACUCUGGAAACGGUAGCUAAUACCGCAUACCAUCGGAUGUGCCCCGAUGGGAUUAGCUAGUAGGUGGGGUAAAGGCUCACCUAGGCGACGAGCCCUAGCUGGUCUGAGCGGAUGGCCAACCAAGCUGGAACGGCGACACGGGCCAGCCUCCUACGGGAGGCAGCAGUGGGGAAUAUUGCACAAUGGGCGCAAGCCUGAUGCAGCCCUGCCGCGUUGAUGAAGAAGGCCUUCGGGUUGUAAAGUACGUUCAGCGGGGAGGCGUUACCCGCAGAAGAAGCACCGGCUAACUCCGUGCCAGCCGCCGCGGUAAUAC